AUGUCAAAGAAGGGAGAUGAGACACCAGCGGAUGGCAAGAUGGAUGAACUGUUGGACAGUGUUAGCCUUAAUUACCUAAUUCCUAAUGAAGUGGAAAACUUUAUGACCAGCAUAGAAAAUGUGCAACACUCUUCUUCUGAGCAUGAAGGGCAAAAUGAUGAUUUCGAAGCAAAUAUCAUUGAGCAAGAUGAACACAUUGGAAAGAUUUUACUAAUCUUACUGUUGCAUGCAAAGACAUUGGUGAUGUCAUAUCAGAAGACCCACAGAAGGUUUAGGUUUCCGAGGGCAAGCAGAAAUAAGUGA
rnacentral:rRNA from 1 species